AUAAUACCAAUCUAUAUUUGAAAAGGAUUUUUGUUAUCAGCAGUGCAGGAUGGUUAAAACUUACUGAGUCCUUAUGUGUCAGGCACUCUUGUGAAUGAAGUUUUCCAUGAAUUAGCAUUGAAUUCUCACAACAGUCCUUAAGAUGUAUGGUAUUAUUGUUCUCAUUAUACAAAAAGAAAUUGAAGAAUGGAAUUUGAGGAAAUUGUACCCCUGAGACGUCAAUUAACUUGCCCAAGGAUUCACAGUUAAUAAGUGGUAAUAAGAGGAUCAGUUUCUAUGUCUUUCUUGAUAUUGGACAAAAUAUACUACAAUAUAUUUUUGCAAAGGUAAUGGGCACGAUAACAGCUUUUUGUUCUUUAAUUAUAAUUUAUUUCAUUAGUGACAAGACAAAUUUUUUUAUAGUUCUUUUCUCCUACUAGAUUAGUUACUAAUCUCAUGGGAUUGUUGUGAAGAAUAAAAUUAAUAUAUAUGAAGGAUCACUGUGUCAAGAAUGGGCAUGGCUCUAUUUAGUGAAUGGUGGCUUUUAAUGUUAGUUUUAGCUAGCGAUUGAGGGAAGAACCAUGUAUCUAGUUCACUAAUUUUGUUACACAGGUGGUUUUCUCAUUAAAAGGAAAUCAGUCUUCGCAUAUUUAUGUUAUAUAUAAUUGCUUCUGAAAAUAAGAUAAACCAAUGUAAUUACUGGAAUGGAGUAAGGAAUUGUAAACUUUUUUGAUCUUUUAUUGCUGGCAAAAAAUAUAUUUUAGUUCACACUACAAGUAUAUGUAUAGUUAUUUAUACUCCGCUAACAUAAGUGCUUAUUAACAUACAAAAUGGGAUUUAUCAUAAACAGAUUGCAUACCAAAUACAUUGAAUUUUAUGAACUACUUCCAGAUCUGCUUUUUUUUUUUUUUUUUUUUAAUUAUUUGCUUUCACUUGUAUUACUUAUAUUACUUUCAACCCACCCAUGGGUUUCUUUGCAAAAAUAUUUUAGGCAAUUUUUGAAGGUGGAGUUAGAUAAACCAGAAAAUGAAACAACAAAAUUCAUUUCAUCCAGCACCAGUGAAUGGAAAGACAUAAAAAUAUUCUAGCCUUUAAGAAAUUCACUCUUGCUUCAAGAUUUCUCUAAAAGGUGACAUUUGACACCUAUACCAAGUGAGAAUGCUAAUUUAGAUAUACACAUUUUAAAUAUAAAUGUUUAAAAAAUGGUGGAGGCAGUGGGAGAAAUGUGUGCAGUAUUGGAGGUAUCUUCUUCAUGGGGCUGGAAGAAAAUACUAAACUAGAUUGUUCAGAUGCAGAUUCUAGUGCAUCAUGUAAGUGCUCAACUGCCCCUGUUGCUGUGGGCAGCAUCAUGUAGAACCAGACUGCCUGGGUUCAGAUCCCUACUCCACAAGGAAUACACAUGAACCUUGAGCUCAGCACUUGACCUCUCUAGGCUUCCUUUUCCUCACUUGUGAAGAGACAGUAAUAAAAACCUGCUUUACAGGGUUUUUAUGAGGGUAAAAUUCCACAAGAGGGGAGUUCUUGUGGCUCAGUGGGUUAAGAACCCGACUAGUAUCCAAGAGGAUGUAUGUGGGUUUGAUCCCUGGCUCGAUCAGUAGGAUCCAGCAUUGCCAUGAGUUGUGGUGUGGUGGAUGCAGCUCAGAUCUGGCAUUGCUGUGGCUGUGGUGUAGGCCAGAAACUGCAGCUCUGAUUUGACCCCCAAGCCCGGGAACUCCCACAUGCCACAGGUGCAGCCUUAAAAAAAUAAAAAUAAAAACAACAAGAGUACUUAGAAGUGCCUGCCACUCAGCUAGUAAACCCUAAGUAAGUUUUUACUCUUAGUGCUAUUAUUUUUUCAAUAGCUUCCAAUGUUAAUAGUCUAGGAAGGUAAACAAUCUCUCUUAUCUGGUGUGUUAUAGUCUGUCUUCUCUCUCACUCUGGUGAGAUUCAUGAUAUUAUACCUGGAACUUUGGUUAUUCAUCUUCAGUUUUCUGCCCACUUUUGACUAAUUAGCUGUCUCUGGGCCCUCAUGUGGAGGUUUGUUCAUAUCGUCAAUGCUUAGUGGCCCCUAGUCCUGAUUUGGUGGUUCUUUUCUGUGAACAGAAAAGUGAGACGGUUUUGGAAAGUGAACAUGAAAAUCCCACAGACUGACUUUUAUGUGUUCUCAUUUUCUACCGUCCCUUGGGCUCUGUUACUCACAAUCUUAUACAGAGCACAGCCUUUCAUUAUUCCGGCAGAAGUGAAGACUUUCACAGUAUUUCCUUUAACUUUCUAAUCUUUACCCACUUGCUGUUCCUUCAUCUCUCAUCGUUAUUCCUAGCAGGCAAACACACUCACAUACACACACGUGAACCCUCAGAAACUGAAAAGCUGCAGUGACUUCCAUGCAGUUUGCUGAGACCACAAGCUCACUAGCUGUGUCCUCACAGCAGGCACGCACACCAGCUCCAGUCUCUUUCCCUGGAUGUCCAUUCUUUUUCUCUCUUACUCAGAUGUCCCGAUAUACAGUUUCCUAUUAUCAUCCUUUGAAAUCCACAAUCUUUUAAGGUCUUAGAUACCUAGUGCAUCAUUUUAAAAGCUUUCAAACUUUCUGUUAAUUUGUGUAUUAAACAAAGAUACACAUUUGCAUGUAAGUAACUGCUUGAACAUGCAUCAAAGUUGAGAGUAUGAGUGACUGUCUGGAGAGGAGGAAGACAGUGUAGGCAGUAGGCAUUGAGGAAGAAUGGAACUUAAGUGACACAUGACUUAGCUUUGGGUCCUUUGUACCCUGUGCCAUAUCAGCUUUCGUCACGGCCUCCUCCAGGUCUCAGUACCCAGAGGUUUGCAGUGUUUGCUCCAUUGAGAGGUAUGUAUAGGGGUUGCCCCUGUGGUGGCACCAUGGGUUAAGAAUCUGCCUGCAGCCACUUGGGUUCCUGCAGAGGUGCAUGUUUGAUCCCAGGCCCAGCACAGUGGGUCACGAAUCUGGCUUUGCAGAAGCUAAGGUAAGGUAUAGGUCACACCUGUGGCUUGGGUUCAGGCCCUGGCCUGGGAGCUGCCAUAUACUGUGGGUGUGGC
rnacentral:lncRNA from 1 species